CAGGCUGCAAAGAUCACUCAGCUUUGUUAGCUGAUAUUUUCUAACUUCGUCUUCUCUAAGUCGGAUUUGAGAACGAACUCAUUAUUGCCAUUGGAAAAGGGGACCCUGCUUUGGUGAUGUCUGAAAUGGUUUCAAUGCUAGAAAAGUCACGUCAUUCGAACAGUUGGCGAUGUACUUUGAGAACAUUGAUCCUGUAUCUCAAUAUAAAAGAUGGACAGCUAUGCCACUGUCAGAUAGGAAGGGUUCAACAGUGCCAAUAUAUGAAAUUUCAUCAGUAAGGGUUAAGGCAACAUUUGUUAUCCGUGAUCCUGUAGACUGGGGGAGGGACAUUCAGGUAUUUUGCUUUAGUUCUUCCUUUGAAUUAGAACUUAAAUUCUUUGUACACUUUGAAUCUCAUGCAAAAGUCCCUUGAAUGAUCUAAUUCGAAAUUGUCUAUUAAUUUGUUUUCUUGUUUGG